rnacentral:rRNA from 1 species
GGCUGAUUAGCUACGUUCGGGAUGGAUAACCGCUGAAAGCAUCUAAGCGGGAAGCCGGCUUCGAGAUGAGAUUUCCUUGCCCCUUUGAGGGUGUGAGGCCCCCAGCUAGAACACUGGGUUGAUAGGCUGGAUGUGGAAGCGAGGACUGAAGACUCGUGAAGCUGACCAGUACUAAUAGGCCGAUGACUUACACAC